AGGAUUAUAGUUUAUAAUUAAAACAUUUGAUUUGCAAUCAAAAAAUAUUGAGAUCAAUUUAUCUUA
rnacentral:tRNA from 1 species